rnacentral:piRNA from 1 species
UCCAUGAGAUCCUGCUGUC